GCCACCUUUUUUCAUCUUCAUCAUCAUCAAGAAUAAGAAGUCCUGUCAAUUCAGUUGGCGAGGUGUAACUCAAUAUUGGCUGGUACUACAAGACUAGUUCUUACACCAUUCUACUCCAAAUGACUAUGCGCAGAUCCAUGUCCCAUAAGAUCAUUCUUCAAGUAAGGAAAAAGUGAUGAUUAUGACUGCUAGACAGUACCAACUUACCUGCAUGCCGCCAUUUUGUUAAUAUUAAAGAAGCAUGUGUUCGAAAUUUAGGUGUGGUCGCGCAUGCUCAGAUCAUUUCCUCAAUUCCUCUAUUUAAUCGUAUGUAAAAUCGAAAAUGGCUACACCUUGUCAUCUUGGGCUACACUGUACAGAAGUGGAACAGGAAACCCUUCAGUGAUGUAAAGUGACACUCUUUCCAUUUGCCCAAGUCCUAUUGUAGCUGUAGCUAUCAUUAUGUUUGCACUUUGCAGCUUCAAUUCAUUGUUGAUGAAUAUUGCGGGCAAUCAUUAUUACAUGUUUAAUGUCCAAUUUCUGUUUUAUAAUUUUGCUGUAACAUUAAUGAAUAUGGAA